rnacentral:rRNA from 1 species
AGAACGAACGCUGGCGGCAGGCUUAACACAUGCAAGUCGAACGCGUGUAGCAAUACACGAGUGGCGCACGGGUGAGUAACGCGUGGAUAUCUGCCUUUUGGUUCGGAAUAACCCCGGGAAACUGGGGCUAAUACCGGAUGGUUCCUACGGGAUAAAGAUUUAUCGCCAAAAGAUGAGUCCGCGUCCGAUUAGCUAGUUGGUGGGGUAAUGGCCUACCAAGGCGACGAUCGGUAGCUGGUCUGAGAGGACGAUCAGCCACACUGGGACUGAGACACGGCCCAGACUCCUACGGGAGGCAGCAGUGGGGAAUAUUGGACAAUGGGGGCAACCCUGAUCCAGCCAUGCCGCGUGAGUGAUGAAGGCCUUCGGGUUGUAAAGCUCUUUUGGCGGGACGAUGAUGACGGUACCCGCAGAAUAGCCCGGCUAACUUCGCGCCAGCAGCCGC